rnacentral:lncRNA from 1 species
CCCCGGAAAGUUAGUCAACUGCACUGCACACCCACAAGAUUCAGUUGCAUCAACAUUUCUGUCAUCAGAUUACAUCCUUAUGGUCUCCAUUGUCACUGCCACUAUAGUCCCUGUCAAUGUUGUGUGCCAUCCUCAAUUCUUCUUUUUAGUUGAAAAAUGGCAAUCUGGUGCAUGAGACUUCUAUCUGGGGAGGGCCAGUUGUAGAAACGGCUGUAAACAAGAGAUUGAGAAACUACUUGUAGAAACGGCUUUGAAAACAAUAACGUAUUUAAAACUUAUUUUCUUACCGCUCCUUCUCCUCUGUAUCUCCUUUUGUUGUUCCACGUCCUCACCACCGUCAAUCAUCAC